UUAGAAUUUAUCAGCUGAUGAACCAUCUGAUGAAGAGAAUACGGAAAUCGACGAAUCACCUAACGAAGAGAAUUCACCAUCUGAUGAGUCAUCCGAUACAGAGAAUACAGAAGGCGAUGACAUACCUAAUGAAGAGAUUACGCCAAUCGAUGACGCAACCGAGGAAGUG